UCCUGAUUCUACAACCAACUUUCUGUGUGACCAAGAGCGAGUGACUUGACAUCUCUGAACUUCAGUUUCCCCUCCUGCAAGAUGGAAGUUCAGACACCUUCUUUCCAGAGUGACUGUGUGCAAAGUCUGCACACCAGCUUCACCAAGAGGGGUCAUGAGUGGCUGGCCCCCAGCAGGCACUCAUACAGUGACCCUUUUCUCCUUGACGUGCCACAAGAUUGGUGAAUAAACCAGUUGCCCUUGUCUCCUGUAGCCUCCACUUCCCGAGUUCAAGUGAUUCUCCUGCCUCAGAAGUCAGGGAGUGGUUUCUCCAGCUGGUUCUGGCUCAGCCUCUCCCAUGAGGCUGCAGUUAGGAUAUGGGCAGGGGCUACUGGCAUGAGCCACCGCACCUGGACAACUUGGUGGCUUUCAAAUAUGUCCGCAAAUUCUUUGACACCCCUGCCUUCAAAAGAUAGAGCUUAACUGUCCUUCCUCUACAUGUAGACUGCACCCACUUCUAAUGAAUAGAUGUGGAAGCAAUGAUGUGUAACAUCCAAGAUUAGGAUAUAAAAGGCAUUGCAGCCUCCUCUUUCCUCUCUCUCAGGUCACUUUCCCUGGGGGUAGUCAGCUGUCGUGUCACGAGGACAUUCAAACAGCCCUGUGGGAAGACCCAUGUGACAAGGAGCUGAGGCCUCCAGCAAACAGCCAGGUGAGUGAGCCAUCUCAGAAGCAGAGCCUCCAGCCCCGGCCAAACCUUCAGAUGAUGCAGCCCCUGCCCAUUUCCUAACUGCAGCCUCAUGGGAGAGGCUGAGCCAGAACCAGCUGGAGAAACCACUCCCUGACUUCUGACCCUCAGAAACAGUGCAAAAUCAUGAAUGUUUAUUAUUUUAAGCUGUUAAACUUUGGGGAUAAUUUGUUAUGUGGCAGUAGAUAAGCAACACAAGUAAAAGGCAUUGCUUUACUAAGUGCCUUAUGUGUAUUAAUGUAUUCAAUUCUCCCAACAAUGUUAUGUCUUUCCAGAUGAAGACCAUGAGGCACAGAGAGGUUUGUUAACUUGCCCAAGGUCACACAGCUGGUAAGUGGGACAA
rnacentral:lncRNA from 1 species